GAUAAACGCUGGCGGCGUGCAUAACACAUGCAAGUCGAACGAUGAAGCUUAAAAGAUUUCUUCGGGAUGAACUUGACUGGCUUAUUGGCGGAAGGGUGAGUAACGCGUGAGUAACCUGCCUUGUACAAGGGGAUAGCCGUUGGAAACGACGAAUAAUACCCUAUGACAUCAAUUAAUCGCAAGAUACUUUGAUCCAAGAUUUUUCGGUAUAAGAUGCGCUCGCGUCUGAUUAGCUUAAUGGUAGAGUAAAAGCCUACCAAGGCAACGAUCAGUAGCCGGCUUGAGAGAGGGUACGGCCACAUUAGGGCGGCAGCACGGGCCAGACUCCUACGGGAGGCAGCAGUGGGGAAGUUUGCACAAGCGUGGGAGCCCUGAUGCAGCGGAGCCGCGUAAUUUAGAAGGCGGGAGGAUUAUAUAAAUCUGUUGUAUGGGAAGAAAAUGACAGUACCAUACGGAUAAGGACCGGCUAAUUACGU
rnacentral:rRNA from 1 species